rnacentral:tRNA from 1 species
GGGGUUGUGGCUCAGUGAUAGAGUGCUCGCCUAGUACAUGUGAGGCCCUAAGUUCAAUCCUCAGCACCACA